rnacentral:rRNA from 1 species
AAGUCGAGGGGAAACGACAUCGAAAGCUUGCUUUUGAUGGGCGUCGACCGGCGCACGGGUGAGUAACGCGUAUCCAACCUGCCUCACACUGGGGGAUAACCUUGCGAAAGUAAGACUAAUACCCAAUGACGUCUCUAGAAGACAUCUGAAAGGGAUUAAAGAUUUAUCGGUGAUGGAUGGGGAUGCGUCCCAUUAGCUUGUUGGCGGGGUAACGGCCCACCAAGGCAACGAUGGAUAGGGGUUCUGAGAGGAAGGUCCCCACAUUGGAACUGAGACACGGUCCAAACUCC